UACGUAGGCAGCGAGCGUUGUUCGGAGUUACUGGGCGUAAAGAGUGCGUAGGCGGUUUUCUAAGUUUGGUGUGAAAUCUCCCGGCUCAACUGGGAGGGUGCGCCGAAGACUGGAAGGCUGGAGUAUGGGAGAGGGAUGUAGAAUUCCAGGUGUAGCGGUGAAAUGCGUAGAUAUCUGGAGGAAUACCGGUGGCGAAGGCGGCAUCCUGGACCAUAACUGACGCUGAGGCGCGAAAGCUAGGGGAGCAAACGGG
rnacentral:rRNA from 1 species